rnacentral:tRNA from 1 species
ACAAUCAUAAGUUAAAGGAAAACUUUUCGUUUACCAAACGAGUAUUGUCAGUUCGAGUCUGACUGAUUGUA